ensembl:snoRNA small nucleolar RNA SNORD78
GUUCAGUGAUGUUUGUACAAAUGUCUGACCUGAACUUUUAUGUGGACAGUCUACUGCUGAGUAA